rnacentral:rRNA from 1 species
UGGGGAAUUUUGCACAAUGGGGGAAACCCUGAUGCAGCGACGCCGCGUGAUUUAGAAGGCCUUCGGGUUGUAAAAAUCUUUUUUACGGGAUGAAAAUGACAGUACCGUAAGAAUAAGGUCCGGCUAAAUACGUGCCAGCAGCCGCGGUAAUACGUAGGUCCCGAGCGUUGUCCGGAUUUAUUGGGCGUAAAGCGAGCGCAGGCGGUUAGAAAAGUCUGAAGUGAAAGGCAGUGGCUCAACCAUUGUAGGCUUUGGAAACUGUUUAACUUGAGUGCAGAAGGGGAGAGUGGAAUUCCAUGUGUAGCGGUGAAAUGCGUAGAUAUAUGGAGGAACACCGGUGGCGAAAGCGGCUCUCUGGUCUGUAACUGACGCUGAGGCUCGAAAGCGUGGGGAGCGAACAGG